rnacentral:rRNA from 1 species
GAACUGAAGAGUUUGAUCAUGGCUCAGAUUGAACGCUGGCGGCAGGCCUAACACAUGCAAGUCGAGCGGAUGAAGGGAGCUUGCUCCUGGAUUCAGCGGCGGACGGGUGAGUAAUGCCUAGGAAUCUGCCUGGUAGUGGGGGAUAACGUCCGGAAACGGGCGCUAAUACCGCAUACGUCCUGAGGGAGAAAGUGGGGGAUCUUCGGACCUCACGCUAUCAGAUGAGCCUAGGUCGGAUUAGCUAGUUGGUGGGGUAAAGGCCUACCAAGGCGACGAUCCGUAACUGGUCUGAGAGGAUGAUCAGUCACACUGGAACUGAGACACGGUCCAGACUCCUACGGGAGGCAGCAGUGGGGAAUAUUGGACAAUGGGCGAAAGCCUGAUCCAGCCAUGCCGCGUGUGUGAAGAAGGUCUUCGGAUUGUAAAGCACUUUAA